rnacentral:rRNA from 1 species
GGAGUUAGCCGGUGCUUCUUCUGUGAGUGAUGUCCUUCCUGCCGGCUAUUAACCCGCAGGCCUUCUUCCUCACUGAAAGUGCUUUACAACCCGAAGGCCUUCUUCACACACGCGGCAUGGCUGGAUCAGGGUUGCCCCCAUUGUCCAAUAUUCCCCACUGCUGCCUCCCGUAGGAGUCUGGGCCGUGUCUCAGUCCCAGUGUGGCUGAUCAUCCUCUCAGACCAGCUACGGAUCGUCGCCUUGGUGAGCCGUUACCUCACCAACCAGCUAAUCCGACAUAGGCUCAUCCGAUAGCGCGAGGCCCGAAGGUCCCCCGCUUUCCCCCGUAGGGCGUAUGCGGUAUUAGCCUGGGUUUCCCCAGGUUAUCCCCCACUACCGGGCAGAUUCCUAUGCAUUACUCACCCGUCCGCCGCUCGCCACCAGGGAGCAAGCUCCCCGUGCUGCCGCUCGACUUGCAUGUGUAGCGUCGCCGCCACGCGUUCAUCUGAGCCAUGAUACAACUACUCGA